UACAGAGGGUGCGAGCGUUAAUCGGAAUUACUGGGCGUAAAGCGUACGUAGACGGUAGCGUAAGUCAGAUGUGAAAGCCCCGGGCUCAACCUGGGAACUGCAUUUGAGACUGCUCUGCUCGGGUGCGGAAGAGGGAAGCGGAAUUUCCGGUGUAGCGGUGAAAUGCGUAGAUAUCGGAAGGAACACCAGUGGCGAAAGCGGCUUCCUGGUCCGACACCGACGUUCAGGCACGAAAGCGUGGGGAGCAAACAGG
rnacentral:rRNA from 1 species